rnacentral:lncRNA from 1 species
GUCCCUAAAGUCCAUUGUAUCAUUUUUAUGCCUUUGCAUCCUCAUAGCUUAGCUCCCACAUAUCAAGGAGAACAUAUGAUGUUUGGUUUUCCAUUCCUGAGUUACUUCACUUAGAAUAAUAGUCUGUAAUCUUUUCUAAGUCAUUGCAAAUGCUGUUAAUUCAUUCCUUCUUAUGGCUGAAUAGUAUUCUAUCACAUAUAUAUGUAUAUGUGUGUGUGUAUAUAAUUAGUGAAUGUGUGGAAAAUCUCAGAGCACAGAACACUCAUACACAGACACACACACACACACUUGGAUUUCUCUGAACAUUUACAUUUACAAUAACAGUAUUUUCCCAAUUACAGUAAGUGUGGCAGAGACAACUAAUUGCCCCCAGGAUCCAUUUGUCUCUUCAUCUCUUUAGUUAGAGAAAACCUACCUUCAAAUAUGACUGCACAUUCUCAAAAAUUCUAAGGAAGGAAAAGUUCAAGCUACUAAUCUCUGGCUGAAUAGGGAAAAAUAUAUAAACUCCCUGAACUUUAAUAGCAGCCUCCAAGCCAUACACAUAUAUAGUGGUAAAGGGUAAAAUUCUAAUUCGCUGAGGGGCGUAAGCAUAAUCACUUAACAAUAAGUGGCUUAUGCCAACUCAGGGGCAAUCUCUAAGUAGCCAAGAUAAAAGAUAAAAAUAAAACAAAGAAAAGAUCAGGAAAAUAAUAGGCUGCACAGAAUUAGUUCAGCUAAGUUUUUAAACAAAUAACCAAAAUGACCAAGUGAAUAAUAAUGACCCUGGUGGGGAUGGGGAGAUUCAGUAUCCAGAUUUAUAUCCAGUUUUCAAUAAAAAUUACGAGACAUUCAAAGAUGUAGUAAAGUGUCACCCAUACUCAGGGAAAAUAAACAACAGGUAAUAGAAAGUACUCUUA